UACGUAGGGUGCAAGCGUUGUCCGGAAUUAUUGGGCGUAAAGAGCUCGUAGGCGGUCUGUCGCGUCUGCUGUGAAAACUCAGGGCUUAACCCUGAGCUUGCAGUGGGUACGGGCAGACUAGAGUGCGGUAGGGGAGACUGGAAUUCCUGGUGUAGCGGUGAAAUGCGCAGAUAUCAGGAGGAACACCGGUGGCGAAGGCGCCACUCUGGGCCGGUACUGACGCUGAGGAGCGAAAGCGUGGGGAGCGAACAGG
rnacentral:rRNA from 1 species